rnacentral:rRNA from 1 species
GUCUUUUUGAAUUAAAUAUAAAGUCUAACCUGCCCAUUGAAUUUAAUUUAAAAGGCUGCGGUAUUUUGACUGUACAAAGGUAGCAUAAUCAUUAGUUUUUUAAUUGAAAACUCGUAUGAAUGGUUGAAUGAAAAAUUAACUUUUUUUUUCAAAAAUAUAGAACUUUAUUUUUUAGUUAAAAAGCUAAAAUAUUUUUAAAAGACGAGAAGACCCUAUAGAGUUUAAUAAUGAUUUUUUAUUAUUAUAAAAGAUUAUUUAUAUUAUUAAAAAUUUAUUUAUUUUAUUGGGGUGAUAAUAAAAUUUAAUAAACUUUUAUUUAUAAUAAAUAUUUAUAUAUAUAAUUAUUUGAUCCAAUUAUAUUGAUUAAAAUUUUAAAUUACCUUAGGGAUAACAGCGUAAUUUUUUUUUAAGUUCUUAUUAAUAAAAAAUUUUGCGACCUCGAUGUUGGAUUAAGAUUAAAUUUUAGGUGCAGCAGCUUAAAUUUUAAGUCUGUUCGACUUUUAAAUUCUU